GCUGGGUGUAGUGGUGCACACCUGUAGUCCCAGCUACUUGGGAGGCUGAGGCAGGAGAAUCACUUGAACCUGGGAGGCGGAGGUUGCAGUGAGCUGAGAUGGUACCACUGCACUCCAGCCUGGGUGACAGAGUGAGACUCUGUCUCAA
rfam:Pan troglodytes isolate Yerkes chimp pedigree #C0471 (Clint) chromosome 4, whole genome shotgun sequence.